CCCGCUGAACUUAAGCAUAUCAAUAAGCGGAGGAAAAGAAACCAACAGGGAUUGCCUCAGUAACGGCGAGUGAAGCGGCAACAGCUCAAAUUUGAAAUCUGGCUCUUUUAGGGUCCGAGUUGUAAUUUGUAGAGGAUGCUUCGGCGUCGGCUCCGGUCUAAGUUCCUUGGAACAGGACGUCAUAGAGGGUGAGAAUCCCGUAUGUGAUCGGUUGCCCUUGCCAUGUGAAGCUCCUUCGACGAGUCGAGUUGUUUGGGAAUGCAGCUCUAAAUGGGAGGUAAAUUUCUUCUAAAGCUAAAUACUGGCCAGAGACCGAUAGCGCACAAGUAGAGUGAUCGAAAGAUGAAAAGCACUUUGGAAAGAGAGUCAAAAAGUACGUGAAAUUGUUGAAAGGGAAGCGCUUGCAACCAGACCUGCCUGCAGUUGCUCAUCCGGGCUUUUGCCCGGUGCACUCUUCUGCUGUCAGGCCAGCAUCAGUCCGGGCGGUUGGAUAAAGGCUUCGGGAAUGUAGCUCCUCUUCGAGGAGUGUUAUAGCCCGUUGCGAAAUGCGGCCAGCCUGAACUGAGGUCCGCGCUUCGGCUAGGAUGCUGGCGUAAUGGUUGUAAGCGGCCCGUCUUGAAACACGG
rnacentral:rRNA from 1 species